ACUGAUAUAACAAGAAGAGUUACUACAAAUAUAUAGAUCAAACAACAGUAAGAAAACUUAAAAUCAAGAAAAAACAUUGCCAAAGGUGCCGAAGUUGCCCGGUCAGAGAGAAAGAUGCAUAAUGUUUCAUGUCUUGUCCAUUGUGCUUGCCGUUGACCACCUGCAGACGCUUUCAAGUUGGUCAAAAGCUCGAUCUCUCUUCUCGUCCGAAGAACAUGUUCACCAACUCUUCUUACUAUACCUUAUAGUAGCGGUGGGUGAUCCUUUAAACUGGUUCAAGACAAGAUCAGAAGAAUAAUCAUCGUUAUUAGAAGAAUAGAGGCAAAGAGAAAAAUGAUAAUAAGCAUCAUUAAAC
rnacentral:lncRNA from 1 species